rnacentral:lncRNA from 1 species
CAAAAUGGACGGUGGAAAUUGAAUAAUCUUUAAAUUUGAGUAUAUGACUUUUAAAUUCAAGAUCAAGAAUGUUAACCUUAAUCUAGAUAGUUUAAAUUAUUUUCUAUCAAAAUUUGAAGAAAUUUAGAUUCUUCUACACCAUUAAACUCUAAACUUGCAAUAGUAGCCAUUGAAAAUUGACAAUUUUGAAAUGGUUUGAUCAUAAAGUAAACUAUGUCGAAAAAAAAUAAAAUUUUAUUUCUAAAAACUUUAAAUACCCUAGAUCAGUUUUAACGGUGUGGAUCGUUGAUUUGAACACCCUAAGAUCGAAAAUGAGACUAUAGUACUGGAGCCCCGGUACUAUAGAUAGUAUAGGAGACCAUAGUUAGUUAAUUCGGAUUCGGCAAAAAUUCAGUACAGGUAUAAUUCGAAUAAAAUUCGUUUUCUAAUUUUUAAAUUCGUUGAAAAAUACGGCUAAAAAAUGGAUUCGUCAAUUAUUCGGAUACGUGAUUUAUACGGAUAUUAUACGUUCACUAAUUAAAAAUUCGGGAUAAAAAAUUUGGCCAUUAAAUUAAGUUUUUUUUUCUCUCAAGAUUUAUGUUAUUAGCAUAAAUACUCAUAUUUCUUAAAAUUAUAAGAAUAAAGAGCUACAAAAUUAAGUUAAUUAAGUAAAAAAAAUAGCAAACUAUAUUAUGCCUCAAAAUUAAUAAAUAAUUAAGCAAAUAAGAGAUUAAGAUAGUCCAUAAGAGAUU